CAGUUAGAAAUGUCCAGCCCUAAUGGCUGCAUUCUGAUACUUUCCUGGAGGGGCACCAUCUCACCUGGGAGGGAAUAGAGUAGACAUGCUCCAUGAAUUCCUCAAAAGCUUCCUUUCAAAUGUAGACAAAACCAAACAGACAGAGAAACCUACUAAUAACAGGCAAUCUCAGUUACAGAGACACUGGAAUUUUUCAUUUGCCUUCCCAGAGUGCCGGUCUUUGUUCCGAUAACUUGGUAUUUUACAAAAAGUCCAAUUCUUGGUAAUUUAAAGCUAGGAAAUUAAUGGGAAAUCAGAAAGCCAAUGAGCAUUUACAGGUAGAAAAAGCAAACUGUGAUUACCUGGUCUCUGAGGAGCUAAUUACAGGUUCAGUUGAAAACGGGAGGACCAUGAGAACCAUGUGCGUGUGCACACACACAAACACACUCCACACCCCCGCAACGCAAAUGCACUCCAUGCCCACACAAAUACACACAGACAAACGCACCCUACAUCCACACAUAUAUACACACAAAUGCACCCCAUGCCCCCACAACACAAAUGCACCAAACUCCCACACAUACACAUAGAUACACACAAAUGCACCCCACGCCCACACAUACACACACACAGAAAUGCACCCCACACCCACACAUACACACACACAAAUGCACCCCAUGCCCACACAUACACAUACACAUACACACACACACAAAUAGACCCCACACCCACACAUACACACACAAAUGCACCCCAUGCCCACACAUGCACAUACACACACACACACACAAAUGCACCCCACACCCACACAUACACAUAGACACACACAAAUAUACCCCACACCCACACAUACACACACAAUUGCACCCUAUGCCCCCCAAGACAAAUGCACCCAACUCCCACACAUACACAUAGAUACACACAAAUAUACCCCACGCCCACACACACACACACAAAUGCACCCCAUAUCCACACAUACACAUGCACAGAAAUGCACCCCAUACCCAAACACACAAAUGCACCCCACACCCACACAUACACUUACACACACACAAAUGCACCCCAUGCCCACACACACACACAAAUGCACCCCACACCCACACAUACACUCACACACAAAUGCACCCCAUGCCCACACACACACACACAAAUGCACCCCACACCCAUACACAAACACAAAUGCACCCCACACCCCAAUAUACACAUACACGCACAAAUGCACCCCACGCCCACACAUACAUAUACACACACAAAUGCACCCCAAGCCCAAUACAAAUGCACCCCAUGCCCACAAAUACAAUCACACACACACACACAUAUGCACCCCACACCCACACACACGCACACAAAUGCACCCCACACCCAAAUAUAUAGAUACACACACACACACAAAUGUACUCCAAGCCCACACUUACACACACACACAAAUGCACCCCACGCCCACACAGACACACACACACAAAUGCAUCCCAUGCCCACACAUACACUCACAUACACACAAAUGCACCCCAGGCCCACACAUACGCACACAAAUGCACCCCACAUCCCAACAUAUGCACACACACACAAAUGCACUCCAAACCCACACAUACACAAUCACACACAUACAAAUGCAUCCCACACCCACAUAUACACACACAAAUGCACUCAAAGUCCACAUACACACACACACACACAAAUGCACCCCACACUCACACAUACACAUACACUCACAAAUGCACCCCAUACCCACCCAUAUACAUACACACACAAAUGCACCCCACACAUACACAUACACUCACAAAUGCGCCCCAUACCCACCCAUAUACAUACAAACACAAACGCACCCCAUACCCACACAUACACAUACAAAUGCACCCCAUGCCCACACAUACAUACACACACACACACACACGCACGUGCGCACACACAAAACCCUUCCAGCCUGUGCCCACCUCCA
rnacentral:lncRNA from 1 species